UACGUAGGGUGCAAGCGUUAAUCGGAAUUACUGGGCGUAAAGCGUGCGCAGGCGGUUCGUUGUGUCGGUGGUGAAAUCCCCGGGCUUAACCUGGGAAUGGCGAUGGAAACUGGCGAACUGGAGUGCGGCAGAGGGGGGUGGAAUUCCGCGUGUAGCAGUGAAAUGCGUAGAGAUGCGGAGGAACACCGAUGGCGAAGGCAGCCCCCUGGGCUAGCACUGACGCUCAGGCACGAAAGCGUGGGGAGCAAACAGG
rnacentral:rRNA from 1 species